rnacentral:rRNA from 1 species
CCUACGGGUGGCAGCAGUGGGGAAUAUUGCACAGUGGGCGCAAGCCUGAUGCAGCCAUGUCGCGUGUGUGAAGAAGGCCUUCGGGUUGUAAAGCACUUUCAGCGGGGAGGAAGGCGGUGAGGUUAAUAACCUCAUCGAUUGACGUUACCCGCAGAAGAAGCACCGGCUAACUCCGUGCCAGCAGCCGCGGUAAUACGGAGGGUGCAAGCGUUAAUCGGAAUUACUGGGCGUAAAGCGCACGCAGGCGGUCUGUCAAGUCGGAUGUGAAAUCCCCGGGCUCAACCUGGGAACUGCAUUCGAAACUGGCAGGCUAGAGUCUUGUAGAGGGGGGUAGAAUUCCAGGUGUAGCGGUGAAAUGCGUAGAGAUCUGGAGGAAUACCGGUGGCGGAGGCGGCCCCCUGGACAAAGACUGACGCUCAGGUGCGAAAGCGUGGGGAGCAAACAGGAUUAGAUACCCGAGGAGUC